AAACAAUAGAAACUAGUAUAGCAACAAUCAAGUGAGCAUAUCGAAAAAAGUACGAGAUUGGCUUAAGAAAGUAGGGGCCAUAUUAGCCUUUUGAAGGCCGGCCCUAGCUUGCUUUACUAUAUGUUAAGCUACACAAGCCUCCACUAGCUAGGGCUUUUAUCCGCAAACGGAAGGAAUUGAUCUCAAUCUCUCAUCGACCACAGCGGUACUUGGUGUUGGUGCUACAAAGAAGACUUUGUGGGGACCAGUAGAAGCUGCCAUAUGAAUAUAAAUGCAUGGACAGUGGACAGUAUCCUUGAGGUAGCAGUGAAGCAUGUGAAGCUAUGAAUUAAGUGAAUAAAAGAAAUCUGGAGGCAGUUGCCUCUGUAAUUAA